rnacentral:rRNA from 1 species
CAGGCCUAACACAUGCAAGUCGAACGAAGCCUUCGGGCUUAGUGGCGCACGGGUGAGUAACACGUGGGAAUAUACCUUUCGGUGGGGGAUAACAUCGGGAAACUGAUGCUAAUACCGCAUACGCCCCAAGGGGGAAAGAUUUAUCGCCGAGAGAUUAGCCCGCGUCCGAUUAGCUAGUUGGUGAGGUAACGGCUCACCAAGGCGACGAUCGGUAGCUGGUCUGAGAGGAUGAUCAGCCACACUGGGACUGAGACACGGCCCAGACUCCUACGGGAGGCGGCAGUGGGGAAUAUUGGACAAUGGGCGCAAGCCUGAUCCAGCCAUGCCGCGUGAGUGAUGAAGGCCUUAGGGUUAUAAAGCUCUUUCGUCGGGGACGAUGAUGACGUACCCGAAGAAGAGCCCCGCACUC